rnacentral:rRNA from 1 species
GGAACGUUGAAGACGACGACGUUGAUAGGCGGGGUGUGUAAGCGCAGCGAUGCGUAGAGCUAAGCGGUACUAAUGAACCGUGAGGCUUAACCUU